AGUGAACGCUGGCGGCGUGCCUAAUACAUGCAAGUCGAACGAGUGGCGGACGGGUGAGUAAUGUCUGGGAAACUGCCUGAUGGAGGGGGAUAACUACUGGAAACGGUAGCUAAUACCGCAUACCAUCGGAUGUGCCCAGAUGGAAUUAGCUAGUAGGUGGGGUAACGGCUCACCUAGGCACCGAUCCCUAGAUGGUCUGAGAGGAUGACCAGCCACACUGGACCUGAGACACGGUCCAGACUCCUACGGGAGGCAGCAGAGGGGAAUAUUGCACAAUGGGCGCAAGCCUGAUGCAGCCAGGCCGCGUGUAUGAAGAAGGCCUUCGGGUUGUAAAGUACUUUCAGCGGGGAGGCGUUACCCGCAGAAGAAGCACCGGCUAACUCCGUGCCAGCAGCCGCGGUAAUUC
rnacentral:rRNA from 1 species